rnacentral:rRNA from 1 species
UGGGGAGUCUUGGACAAUGGGGGCAACCCUGAUCCAGCCAUGCCGCGUGGGUGAAGAAGGCCUUAGGGUUGUAAAGCCCUUUCAGUCGUGACGAUGAUGACGGUAGCGACAGAAGAAGCCCCGGCUAACUCCGUGCCAGCAGCCGCGGUAAUACGGAGGGGGCAAGCGAUGUUCGGAAUUACUGGGCGUAAAGGGCGCGUAGGCGGACGGUCAAGUCAGAGGUGAAAGGCCCGGGCUCAACCUGGGACGUGGCUUUGAAACUGAUUGAGUUGAGUCCGGAAGAGGGUGACGGAAUUCCCAGUGUAGAGGUGAAAUUCGUAGAUAUUGGGAAGAACACCGGUGGCGAAGGCGGUCACCUGGUCCGCAACUGACGCUGAGGCGCGAAAGCGUGGGGAGCAAACAGGAUUAGAUACCCCCGUAGUCC